rnacentral:tRNA from 2 species
AGGGGCGUAGCUCAAUUGGUAGAGCACCGGUCUCCAAAACCGGGGGUUGCAGGUUCGAGUCCUGCCGCCCCUG